rnacentral:lncRNA from 1 species
CUAUUGCUCUGAUACCAUGAUGAGAGAAGCCAGGCCUCACGGCCUAGCGCUCUAUAGAGAAUAGAACAAUCCCCUAACAUGGAUCUCACACAGGAUGGGAAAGAAAACUAAGAAAGCCAGGUGGCUGUACGCCACGUUCUAACAGAAGUACGAUUGAAAACUGUCACCUGGACGGAAAUGAACAUAGAAGACCUUCAGGUAGGCAGCUCACGUUUGUCCUGCCAGCACAUUUUAAAACUCAACUGGAAGGCAAGGAAGCAGUAAUAGCUGCAAGCAAAGCUUCACAAGCUGCUGCUCUGUCCGCAAUUUCGUCUGGAACUGGAUCCGCCACUGACAUCGCUGGUGCUGCUGCCGCUGCCGUCGCGAGCUCCAAAAGGUUUGUGCAUUUCCACGAAGCAACUCUUGUUUGUUCCUCACGCCAUUGCACUAGGAAGUAUUGAAAUAAGGCUUGCAAUACAGAGCAAAUUCACAACCAGAGCAAACAACACAGUCCGCAACUGCCAGAUACUCCUGCUAUCAUCGAGGAAUCGGCCAACCCCAUGCAUCCAAACAUCGCUCACUACAGCUGCAUCAUCGAUCUCCUCAGCUGCACCGCACACCCUUGUGGCCAAGGAGCUCAAGAAGGGAAACAAUGCAAGCAAAUUGUUUGUGGCAUGGAAUAGCAAAAUGUAAAGUAAGUUUUCAAAUCAAGAUAUUUACAAGAUUCGGUCCAAUGAACUUCAAGGAAGCUUCCCGAACCAAAACUCUAUAGGCCAUUGCAAGCGUGCCAGCUUUCAGAAAUACGUGCCAGCUUGGUCCUACCGAUCAGCGUGAGGCCUCCGUAAAAGAAUGACUUUGUAAAAGUCCACCACCGUGAUCGUGAUGGA